rnacentral:rRNA from 1 species
GACGAACGCUGGCGGCGUGCUUAACACAUGCAAGUCGAACGGAAAGGCCCCUUUUGGGGUACUCGAGUGGCGAACGGGUGAGUAACACGUGAGUAACCUGCCCUUGACUUCGGGAUAACUUCAGGAAACUGGGGCUAAUACCGGAUAGGAAUCCUUGCUGCAUGGUGGGGGUUGGAAAGCUUCGGCGGUUUUGGAUGGACUCGCGGCGUAUCAGCUUGUUGGUGGGGUAGUGGCUUACCAAGGCUUUGACGGGUAGCCGGCCUGAGAGGGCGACCGGCCACAUUGGGACUGAGAGGCGGCACAGACUCCGACGGGAGGCAGAAGUGGGGAAGAUUGAACAAUGGGCGGAAGCCUGAUGCAGCAACGCCGCGUGCGGGAUGACGGCCUUCGGGUUGUAAACCGGUUUCAGCAGGGGAGAAGCUUGUGGUGACGGUACCUGCAGAAGAAGCACCGGCUAACUACGUG